GCACACAUUGUGCUAAACUAUUGUUUAACCAUGGUUUAUUGAUUAAAAUGCAAUGGGUAAUUUCGUACAAUACAUUAAAUAAAAUUAAAACAAACUCCAUUAUGGUUUAGCAUAGUAUGAGAAACCCAGACUGUGCUGGUUUCCAUUCUGUAUUUGGGUCCAGUUUGAAAUGCUUUUGAUGUUUUCAAGAUAUGGCACCAGUGUGCCUGAAAGACAGUUUUCAACCAAAGCUGUCCCAUAUGUCUUAACACCCCUGCAGUUUCCAUCUCAGAAAGCCUGUGACUGCAUUCCUGCGAGUAUGUUUUAUUGAAUUUAAGCUUUCAUCAGAUUUGUGUUGUGCACACCAUAACUCACUGUCUGGUUUUGCAUUAUGCACUAAGCCAUAAUGUGGUUUAUUGGGGUUUGGCUCAACUUGUUUUCUAACCCCAUCUAUUGUGUUUUAUCAAACCGUGCUUUAUGGAUCAAUAUAUCAUGAAAAUCCUGCCAACUUUAGUUAAGCUGACUAUUCCUUAGCACAACAUAGGACCAAGCCACUCUUUUCUUAGUUGUAUGAAAAUGAAAGCUACCUAGCUUACCUCUAUGAUUAAGUAUGCUUAACUUUUUUUUUUUUUGUAACAGGCUGGAAUAUUCUAUUCUCCAAGUUAGGGAUGUGCAACAAGAAUGAUAGUAGAGUAUACAGCGAUGUACUUUUAAAGAACUUACACUGUGUGCCUGCUGUUGCUGCCAAGAUCUUACUCUCUGGAGAAGGCUCUAAUGCUGAGAAAGGCAUUAGAGAAGGAAAGAGAAGAAGAGGAUGAUUAGCAGCAAGGUGGAUAGACUCAAUUAUAGUGGUGAUGGGUGCUCCAUUGUAAGCCCUGAAGGAACAGGUUCAGGACAGAGCCUCCUGGAGAAAAUCUGUCUCUGUGGUUGCUAA